AAUCUUCUCCUAUACCAAUGGAAAUCAACAGCUGGAUACCAUUAGUCAGUGUCCGUUCACUUCACCGAUCCAGCUUUAAUGAUAGCAGUUUUCAAAAUAUCUUUUAAUCUUUUGCUACCCAUUUCCAAAGGAGUUCAUCUUCCUUUUUCUUUCAAUCUGGUUGCCUUGGUCGAAGUUUCUCUAGCGUACAACAAACGUAAUCUGGAACUCCAACCAACAGGUAAUGACUUUCUCCCUUCUUUAGAGCCUUUUUAACAAGAACAUGGGCAUAUUAUUCUCUAUUUUAGGGAUAAAAUGAAACCCUAUCUCUUGAAAUUCUGCCUUUUUGCUUUGGAUGUCUCUGAUGAGUGCUCCAAUGGCCAAUUUGUCAAAAUCUGUACUUUGGCAUUUCUUUAUUACAGUUUUUGAGUCUCCCAUUAUUUCUAUAUUGUUUAAGCCCAUGUAAAUUCCUAAUCUCAUGGCUUGUAAUCUUGUAUGUGCAUUCGCCGUAAACGGAGUUGCUAUAUCGGAGUGAAUGACCGUCUUUGAUGCCAAGAUCUCGCUCCUCACAUCUCGUACUAUCAGACCCGAAGCAGAUUUGAAAGAUUGUUGGUCAAAGGCUACAUCAAAAAAGAUUGCAACCUUUGUUCUUCGAUUAACAUGUUUAGGGCCUCUGUCAACUUGAAAGAUUAACUAAAGCCCACAACAGAAAAGUUGACACUGUUCACUAGUCCUCCGACUAAAAACCCAGGACACUGUCAAAAUAUAUGAUUACUAUCUUCCUUAUAUUGGCGACACCGAGGGCAAUAAUCAUCCACAGCCACUUUCUUAUGCUUGAGGUUAAUAAGAGUAGGAAUAAAACUCCAUGAGAUUCUUCAUACUGUAAUUGUAACUUUUGAGGGAAUGUAUAAAUUCCGUAGCUUUCUGUAGAAUUUUUUGUUUCAGCCUGUAUAAUAUAAUUACUAGGACCCAAGUUAGUCUCCUGUAAUAGUUUAUAGGCACUUCUAACUAAGAAAUCACCAGACUAUUCUUCUCUCCACACUUGAAAAUCAUCAUAUGCUGUCUCUGCCCAAGGAAUCUGCAUGAUUUUCUUUGCAAUAUCCGUUUGAAAGACAGAGAUAUGAUCCCCUGUUCCAAACCUCCAUCAUAAACCUUUCUCCAGAAGUCCUCUUACUACUCAAAUACUUUUCCAGGUAAGCAAAGGUAAAUUCCCUAACCGAGCAUUAUAGAAAUUCGAGUUAGGAUAAUAUUUUGCCUUCAAGACACGGGCUAAUAAAGAAUUUGGAAAAUUAAUAAAAUGACAACCCUACUUUGCUAAUAAUGUUAUAUUAAAUUUUUCAAGAUUUCGAAAUCUAAGACCACUGUCUUCUUUUAAUGAGCACAGAUCCUUCCAAGCACACCAAUGAAUACCUUUUUUAUCUUAACCUUUUUGCCACCAGAAUUUAGCUAUAGUACCCUUCAAACCAGCACAUAGUGAUUUAGGAAGUAAAAAGCAAGCCAUAGUGUAAGUUGGAAUGGAUUGAAGAAUAGUCUUUAUGAAGACCUCUUUCCCUCCCUGAGAUAGAUGCUCUAUACUCUAAUUAUCUAUCUGUUACUUGAAUCUAUCCUUCAAGACUUGAAAAGACGAUUUCUUCUUUCUUCCCACCAUAUUAGGAGACCAAGAUAUCAUUCUGGAUUAUUUGAUUUACGCACUCUUAAAUACACUCGAAACUAUUAUUUUUUCCCCAUCCUGCGUAUUAUUACUAAAAAAUACUGUUGACUUAUCAUAGUUAACACAUUGACCCGAACAAAUCUCGUAUUCUUACAAAAUCUACUUUAAAGAAUGCGCCCAUCUUUUAGUAGCUUAUUCAAACAAAAUGCAAUCAUCUACAAAUAGUAGAUGAGAAAUAUGUGGCUCACUUUUACUUGCUUUUACUCCACUAAGUAUUUUUCUUUCAUUGCAAUCGUCAUAAGACUAGAGAGGCCUUUCCCACAAAAUAAAAAUAGAAACAGACUCAAAGGAUCUCCUGUCUUAGUCCUCUAGUUGGAUGAAAAGUUUCUCCAAUGUGUCAAUUGAAAACCACCGAAUACGAUACUGUAGAUACGUAUUUCGUUAAAGAAUCAACCCAUCCUGAAUCAAAACCCAUUCUCCUUAUUAUUUUUUCCACAAAAUUCCAUUAGACCCUGUCGCACCGCAAUAAACCAUUUUUUCCCUACCUUCUUGUGCUUUAAUGUGUGUAAAAUUUCAUAAUUCAGUAACACAUUAUCAAAAAUCAACCUCCAAGGCACAAAAGCACUUUGUGCUAAAUUAGUACAUUUAUCAACCACUACGCUAAUUUGAUUAGCAAUGACCUUAACUAUCAAUUUAUAAAGCACAUUACAUAAGCUAAUUGGUCUAAAUUGAGUAAUACUUGAAGGGUUUGAAAUUUUCGGUAUUAGCACAAUAUUUGUUUUAUUGGUCGAAUUUAUAUUCAUACCUUCAUUUAGUCGUUGAAGACAAAAGGCUGAAACAUAUUCUCCGAUGAUCGACCAACACUUUUGAUAAAAUAAGGAUGGAAAGCCAUCCUCUCCUGGUGCUUUUGUGGAACCUAAUUCUGAUAAUGCUUCUCGGAUCUCCUCUUAAAGUUGCUCGCUUUUAGCCUAGAAUUGUCUUCAUCAGAAAUACAGUAAUCAAUUCCGGACAAAAUAUGUUCAUAAUUUCCUUAUCUCCUAGCUGAAAAUAGCCUUUGGAAAUACGAUCUAGUAAUUACUUCCAUUUCUUUAACCUCUUCCGUCUCCCUACCAUCAUCGAACUGCAUUUUACAAAUAAAAUUUCUUCUUCUCCUAUGUGUCGCUUGUUUAUGAAAAAAGCAGUAUUUUUGUCUCCAUAUUUCAUCCAAUUUACUCGAGCCCUCUGUUUCCAGUAGCACUCAUCCUUCUCAAUCUCAAAAUUCAGUUGUAUCUUUGUGUCAAUGAAUUCUGCCAAGUUAUCAUUUUUAUUAGAUUCUAACAAUUUAGUCAAUUUAGAAGUUAAUACCUCUUUUUUUUUUAUUUUUCUACUGCGUCGAGUUUGAUUAGCUGACCUCUCCAAGCCUUUUUUUACACUUUCUAACUUGCUCAAUAGAUUUCCUGUGGAAUUCUCCCAAAUGUACCGAACCUCCUCAACAAAUGAUUCCUCUAAAACCCACCAAGUUUCAAACUUAAAACUUUUAUUAAAAUGUCCCUUAACUUCAAGUUCUGUAGUAAUAAAUAGUGACAAUAGUCUGAUAAAGAAUGAGAAAUAUGUUGAAUUAAUGAAUCUGGAAAUAAGGAUAUCCAUUCUUUAGUAGCCAAUCCCCUAUCUAAUCUUUCUUGAAUGUUCGUUUCCGGAAAGUUUCCUCUCUCCCAAAUGAACCAGUUUCCUGAUAACCUACAUCUAACAGAUUACAAUCUUCCAACGCCUUUCGAAAAGCUUCCAUUCGUCUCUCCUCUCAAGGUAAGCCUCUAUUUUUUUCAAAUUCAUACAUAAUUUCAUUAAAGUCUCCACAAACCAGCCAUGGAAGCUCCCCUUCAUUACGUAAGUGCCUUAAAAGAUUCCAUGAUUCAUCCCUAUCCUAUGUGUAUCUUCACUUGUUACUGGCAUCUGUAUCUUCGAUUAUCACAUCAAUAUGCCAUGCUAAACAUAAUCCUCCUCUAGAACCAAUUGAAUCAACAUCAAUACCAUUAGGAAAACCACAACUCCUUCAAACUCUUUCCAUCUGACUCCUUUUAAUUUUUGUCUUCAUGAAGAAGACCAUAUGGGGAUUGUAUAACUUCAGCGGAUUCCGAAGUCUUUGAAUUGUCCAUGGAUUCCCCAAACCAUGGACAUUCCAACUUAAGAUUUUUAUGGCUCCAGGUUGGCUUGCCUCUUGGUAGCCGCUGAUAACAAAUGAUUAAUUUCCAAUAAUCCCCUAUUUUUAACUACCAAAAUGUUACUUUCUUCAGUCUCCCUCUAGCUCUCUUUUCCCGUUCCUCUCCUAUUAACACAUCAUCUUCCAAAUCAUGGUCCACUACAGUUUGGGCUUAACCUGUCAAUGAAUUUUCCCCUUGACAUGAAGAGGACGUUCUUCCUUCCAAAUUGAAACCUAAAAUAGGGUCAAUAACCUUGUUUCUCCCUUAUUUUUUACCUACUCCCCACCCACUGUUUCCUAGUGUUCGGCCGCUUACACUGCUUCCACCCAGUACUCCUUCUCAUUCCUGUCGUAGUUAGAUGCUAUUCAUUGCUUGGGCUCUCCGAGAUUGUCUCGCAGUGAUAAGUCCCAACCCAUUUCAGCAAUUUCUACCCCUAAUGCAUCUUUGCUUCACAAAAAGAAUCAUUAUGGCCCAAACGGCCAUAAUAGAAACAAAAAAGUGAUAAUCUUUAAUACUUAAAUCUAACAUAUGAGCAUUUCUAGAAAACAUAACCUGUUUCUUCCUUUUUAGAGGAUGUCGAAUAUCUAUUUGGACUCUUAUUCUCAUUAAGUUUUGAUUCUCUUUCGCCAGAUUCAAGCCAUCAUACUCCAUAAAACUUCCUAUGAAAUUACCCAAUUGCAUAGCCAAAUUGUCAGAAAAAAACUUAUAGGAACAUCAUGAAUUUGUACCUACAAAAUGUGUUAAAAUUAAAGGAACUUUUAAUGGAUCCUCCCCCCAUUGCAACUUGUAUAACACUAAUAAAUGAUUAUUAAAAGUCCAUGACGACCCCUUCAAAAUCCUAUCCAUAUUCAUAACAUGAAAAAAUUGAAAUAAAUACCUUUUCUCCCCCGGAUCUCGAAUUUGAACACCACGAACAGGAUGCCAUAGGUUGGCCAUAGUGCUAUUCAUUGCUGGGAAGUGAAUAAAACUGGCUGUUAAAAAGCAUCUCACCAACCUAAAAGCCCCCACUUCUCUUUCCGUGUUCGAAUUUACUUGUAGUUGUAAAACUUCUUCUUCUUUUUCAUUGAGCGUUAAUCCAACAAAAUCUAUUUCUAUGGAUGCAGGUAAAAUCUCAAACGUACAUAACCUUUUUCUAAAGAUUAAAGAGGACUUUAAAGAUGGUUGCUACCAACAAAACAAAAGACUCAAUAAAAACCUAAAAACUUGCCAGAGAAAGCAGACAGUUGCGUGCUAGGGUAGCAGACCUGUUCUCAAUGCUAUUUUUAAAUAAUAAACAAUUUCUAUAUGAUACAGAAGACGAAGUAUACCAUGUUUUCUUUUUCUUAUAAGAUCUAGCGUUAAGUAAAUACUAAACUUACAUAAGCAAAAA